UAUUCCCUGUAACGCUCGAAGCAUGCUGGGUUACUCUUUGAGCCUAAUCUAAAACCCCGGGACUUCCGGGUGUUCGAUGUGCGCAAGUCCGCUCCGAGCGGAAAGCCUGAUUCGGCAUCCUCUGGUCCCACCUGAACCGUUUGGUUCAAGGGCGAAAGCAUGCUACGGCGCAAACGGGGAAUAC
rfam:Methylococcus capsulatus str. Bath, complete genome.